rfam:Triticum urartu cultivar G1812 contig333384, whole genome shotgun sequence.
GCUUGGUUGGUAAAGCACAAAGCUCUUAACCUUGUGGACGUGGGUUCAAGCCCUAC